AUACGGAGGACGCGAGCGUUAUCCGGAUUUAUUGGGUUUAAAGGGAGCGUAGGCGGGAGCUUAAGUCAGCGGUUAAAUGGUGCGGCUCAACCGUGCCCUGCCGUUGAAACUGGGUUUCUUGAGAGUGCAAGAGGCGGAUGGAAUUCAUGGUGUAGCGGUGAAAUGCUUAGAUAUCAUGAAGAACUCCGAUUGCGAAGGCAGUCCGCUGGGGCACGUCUGACGCUGAUGCUCGAAGGUGCGGGAAUCAAACAGGAUUAGAUACCCUGGUAGUCCGCACGGUAAACGAUGAUUACCCGCUGUCGGCGGCAGACAGUCGGCGGCCAAGCGAAAGCGAUAAGUAAUCCACCUGGGGAGUACGCCGGCAACGGUGAAACUCAAAUGAAUUGACGGGG
rnacentral:rRNA from 1 species